UACGUAGGGUGCAAGCGUUAAUCGGAAUUACUGGGCGUAAAGCGUGCGCAGGCGGUUGCGCAAGUCAGAUGUGAAAUCCCCGGGCUUAACCUGGGAAUUGCAUUUGUGACUGCACGGCUAGAGUGUGUCAGAGGGGGGUAGAAUUCCACGUGUAGCAGUGAAAUGCGUAGAUAUGUGGAGGAAUACCGAUGGCGAAGGCAGCCCCCUGGGAUAACACUGACGCUCAUGCACGAAAGCGUGGGGAGCAAACAGG
rnacentral:rRNA from 1 species